rnacentral:rRNA from 1 species
CCUACGGGUGGCAUCAGUGGGGAAUAUUGGACAAUGGGGGGAACCCUGAUCCAGCCAUGCCGCGUGUGUGAAGAAGGCCCUCGGGUUGUAAAGCACUUUCAGUGAGGAAGAACGCCUGGUGGUUAAUACCCAUCAGGAAAGACAUCACUCACAGAAGAAGCACCGGCUAACUCCGUGCCAGCAGCCGCGGUAAUACGGAGGGUGCGAGCGUUAAUCGGAAUUACUGGGCGUAAAGCGCGCGUAGGUGGCUUGAUAAGCCGGUUGUGAAAGCCCCGGGCUCAACCUGGGUACGGCAUCCGGAACUGUCAAGCUAGAGUGCAGGAGAGGAAGGUAGAAUUCCCGGUGUAGCGGUGAAAUGCGUAGAGAUCGGGAGGAAUACCAGUGGCGAAGGCGGCCUUCUGGACUGACACUGACACUGAGGUGCGAAAGCGUGGGUAGCAAACAGGAUUAGAUACCCGAGUAGUC